rnacentral:tRNA from 1 species
AGCAGCGUGGCCUAGUGGAAGGGGCAUGGACUGGGGAGUCAGAGGACCUGGGUUCCAAUGCCGGCGCUGCCA